UACGUAGGGGGCAAGCGUUGUCCGGAAUCAUUGGGCGUAAAGGGCGUGCAGGCGGUUUGUUAAGUGCAGGGUGAAAGCUCCCGGCUCAACUGGGAGAGGUCCUUGCAUACUGGCAAACUCGAGGGAGGCAGAGGAAAGUGGAAUUCCCGGUGUAGUGGUGAUAUGCGUAGAUAUCCGGAGGAACACCGGUGGCGAAGGCGGCUUCCUGGACCGACACUGACGCUGAGGCGCGAAAGCUAGGGGAGCAAACGGG
rnacentral:rRNA from 1 species